GUCCUCUAGUGCUAAAAGUUCUAAUUAUGGACUGUUUUGAACACGGAUCAUCCCCAUACUUCAUUCAAAUCCAACCAUCGCUUUUCCUUGAGUUUACAGCAGGGCCUCCUCUUCCUCUUUGGCCUCUUCCUUGGCCACCUCCCUCUCUUCCUUGGCCACCUCCCCCGCUUCCUUGGCCACCUCCCCCGCUUCCUUGGCCAGCUGCCCCUCUUUUUUGUCCAUCUCCUCCUUCUUGGCCACCUCCUCUUCCUGCUCCUCUCCCGCCACCUGGUCAAUGCUUCCAUUUACCCCUAUGAUGUCUCCUUUUCUUCUAACAACAAAAAGAGAUUAAGCUACUACUAACACAUGAAGGAAUAGUACUGUAUGUUCAUGUAGUAUCAUUAUUCUUGAAAGUAAUAUGAAA
rnacentral:lncRNA from 1 species